UUAUAACUAGUUAUAUAUAUCAAUUGAUAACGUAUGAUUGCUACAGUACCGGGUAUUUUCGUAAUUUUAAGUUUCACACAAUAACAUUCACCACGCUUUUGUUCUCCGACUCAUUCCUCUUCUCCCAACCCUUCAAACUGGGUUUGCCUACACCACCACUGAUCUUCAUCUCCGCCGAUGCUGAUCAUCGUUGCUUUAAUCGGACGAUUCCAAACCAGGUUACUUGGGUUCCCCUACACCACCACUGAUCUUCAUCUCCGUCGAUGCCGAUCAUCGUUGCUUGAAUCGGACGAUUCCCAGGUUACUUGGGUUCCCCUACACCGCCACUGAUCUUCAUCUCCGCCGACGCUGAUCAUCGUUGCUUGAAUCGGACGAUUCCAAACCAGGUGUGAGGUGUCGGUAAAUUGUUUAAUAGUUUUGACAUACAACGAGGUUUAAAAAGGGUAGCAAGAGGUGCCGGCAUCAUGGGAUAUGGCAGAAGCAAUGGACAUGUUACAAUGUGAGGUAUUAUGGUUAUGAAGAUGUGGGAAGGGUAUUUAGAAGGUUAUUGAGUGAGUGGUGAUACAGUGGAAGUUUUUUUUAUUAAAAUUCUUGGAAAGUUGCAGCGGUAGGUCGGUUUUUAGUAAGGCUGCAUGGGUGUACUCGUGAAAUUAGGCCCCAUAAAGUGAAUAUUAGGUGGCAGCAGGCGUGGCAUGACAGUCAAUGGGUUCUGGUUGCGAAAAUAAUUCAUUUCAUCAUUUUCUUUAUUUCCAUUACAUAUAGAUUUUAGUAAGCAAUGGGGUUGACUUGAUGAUAUGUCAAAAAAUAGAAGAUUGUUUACCUGUGUACAACGAUGGUAGAUUACAGAAGCGGAAUCAAAAGCGUAUUUCAGGCCAUUCAUUUAAAAGGUAGAUGUUGUUCAAUGAAAUGGAGAAUAGAAAAAUAUAUGGUGCCGGAUGUGUUUGACGCUAAAUGCAACUACGAAAACCAUUGUCAUUUUGGUAGACACAGUUCAUUCAUAAAUUCAUGUAUGUGUUCAAUUUGAUUCGUACUCCCUUUGUUUCUUAUUAUUUGUUUUCCGUUUCUAUGAUGCAAUUGGCAAUGUACCAUCC